UGGGGAAUAUUGGACAAUGGGGGCAACCCUGAUCCAGCAAUUCUGUGUGCACGAAGAAGGUUUUCGGAUUGUAAAGUGCUUUCAGCAGGGAAGAAGAAAGUGACGGUACCUGCAGAAGAAGCGACGGCUAAAUACGUGCCAGCAGCCGCGGUAAUACGUAUGUCGCAAGCGUUAUCCGGAAUUAUUGGGCAUAAAGGGCAUCUAGGCGGCCCUGUAAGUCUAGGGUGAAAACCUGCGGCUCAACCGCAGGCCCGCCCCGGAAACUACAGGGCUAGAGUAUCGGAGAGGUGGACGGAACUGCACGAGUAGAGGUGAAAUUCGUAGAUAUGUGCAGGAAUGCCGAUGAUGAAGAUAGUUCACUGGACGGUAACUGACGCUGAAGUGCGAAAGCUAGGGGAGCAAACAGGAUUAGAUACCCUGGUAGUCCUAGCUGUAAACGAUGAUUACUGGGUGUGGGCAUGAAGAGUGUCCGUGCCGAAGCAAAUGCGAUAAGUAAUCCGCCUGGGGAGUACGGUCGCAAGGCUG
rnacentral:rRNA from 1 species